ACGAAGGGGGUGGUACCUAGAAGUUAGGGCGGGGUCGCCGGAGUGCUAGGGUGGGACAGUAAGUUCUUCUAGAAGGAAACUACAGCCCCCACCUUCGGAGAAGAACCUCUUGAAGGACUUGGCACGGGCUGCUGGGAGGCUUGCCCUGCCUUAGGGUCUUGCAUGUCCCAGGACCUGCUGGAGCUUGUGAAGGGACUGGUACUGUGGAAUGAUGCCCACAAGAUCUCCAAGACUCAGAGUGGCCACAUGAUAUCCCAGAAGAGUUCUGCAAAGAGGACCGAAGAACAAAGAAUUGAAGAGAUUUCUCCAGAUUCACAGCAAAUUUGAAGAGUUUCACUGAAAAUUCUUCUAUUAAGUAGCCAGUAUUCCUUAUGAAGUUUUGUAAAUUUAACCUUUUAGUCUCUUAUUCUUUACUUGCCUUCAAUUAUUAAAGAAAAAAUCCCCUACCCAGAGAGCAGAAAUCACCAUGGAUAAAAUUAGUAAGUGUUUGAGAUGUAUAAGAAAACCAAAUGUAUGUUGAAGCCCAGGAGGAAAGAAAAAGGUAGUUUAGUUUAGAAGAUAGCAGAGUGACAAAUGUGUGUGGUCCAGUUCUUAAGUUACUAUGGCAAGAUCAGUUUCCAUUCUGUCUCUGCUAGCUUUCUCUCCUGCCUUAGGACUAUAUUUUAAUUUAUACUCAGUCUUAGUGUUUAAGCCAAGAAUUAACCUCACAGGAACAGAGGAGGGUGGCCUUCCACGGAGAGGAUCCUGAAGUGAAAUGGUGAAAUACAGUCCUAGAUAUUGGCAACUUCAGGUUUUGUAACAACACAUAGAUAUAUAAAUUAACCCAUGCCAUUCAUUUGUCCCCAAGCCCAGAAAACAACUGGAUUUGUCUGGUUGCCUGGGGUAUUUUCAUAGCUUGCUAACAAAGCUGCUGUGAGCAGUCAUAUUUCUAUUGGCUUUGGAAAACAAUUGAAAUGUUUUUAUUGAAAAAUAUUUUUUUCUAAGUAGUUU
rnacentral:lncRNA from 1 species